CUUUCCUCUGUUCUCCAGAGCUCACCAUCUAAAAAAACCAAAAUCCAACUCCACCUUAGUCACAAAAACACCUCUCUUUCCACGGAGCUAUGGAGCUUACUCUAUAUCUCUCAAAUUCGGUUCACCCCCACAAACCACCUCCUUCGUCAAAAUCCCAAAUGCAAAUGGGUACUAGCCUCCAAAAAAAAACUGAAUCCUCUUCUCCAUCAAAGCUGGGUCACGAAGAAGGAGGAUCCCCUCUGUUUUUUUUUUGGCAGGUAUUUUUGUAAAUAACAACUUUUAGUUUCUAUUUUUGUUUAUUUUCUCUAUGUAGGUCAUAAAUGUAAAUUUU